UUGCCUAGUCAUUACCCGUUCUACCUAGGUAAAAGCCGAAUUUUACAUCAAAUUAUUCUUAAUAUCAGUUUUACCCGGCCCGGCCAGUUAAUCCGCGUUUUAACUAGUUAAAACGCGUUUUGACCGGGGACCGGACAUUAACUGUAACAUAUGCACAUUUAUUUUUCUGUGAACGGCGGAACGGUUUCCUGCGUACACCUGGAUCCACUCGCCAGCACUCAGCUACGCCGAGCCGUGCUCCACCGUCUUGUCUCCGCAGUUGGUGAGUGAGUUUGCUGGUUCUUCAUCGCCCGAGACAUGGACGGUCUACCGGACGAGCUUUUCCAGUGGAUCCUGUCGUACGUACCCUCGGCUCAGCUGUUGCCGCUCCGGUUGGUGUGCCGACGAUGGAGCCACGCCAUACUGGAGAAGGCUGUGUGGCAGCACCGCGAUCUGUGGGGGACAAAUGAUGAUGUUGGUGAUGAUUAUGAAGGGUUUUUCCCACGCAAGCAUUCGAAUGUCAACACGGGGCUUAUACGCACCAUCGUUCGACUUGUGCCAGCGGUUGGCCGCGUCUACCUGUACCUGAAGGCCGGCAGUACGGCAGGGGUGGCUGCGUUAGAAGCACUGGCCCGAGGAACCUG